rnacentral:tRNA from 1 species
AGUCCCUGUCUCAGUGGUACAGUGUUUCCCCACCAUGCACAAGGCCCUGGGUUCAAUCCCCAGCACUG